rnacentral:snoRNA from 1 species
CCACAUGCUCCUUAGAUCCAUCUUUGUGAGUAUCUUUGUGCUGAGUUCUGCUGGAUAACUUCAGUUUCUAGCAGUUCCAGUCAAAGUUGCUCGGCAACUUUUUUGGUUGUACGGUCAAAGAUGCUUGAGUCAUUGGCAUGUGAGAGUAAUAUAACUGCAUGUUAGCUUUCUGUUCUGAUAAAAGUGACUGUAAAUAUGAGAGUCAUUUACCGCUAUCAGGACAUGGCUGGUAUGCAGACAUUG